CUUUUAUGGAGAGUUUGAUCCUGGCUCAGGACGAACGCUGGCGGCGUGCCUAAUACAUGCAAGUCG
rnacentral:rRNA from 2 species